rnacentral:tRNA from 1 species
GCCGCUGUGGUGCAACGGACAGCAUCUCUGGCUUCGAACCAGAAGACGGGGGUUCGAUUCCCUCCAGCGGUACCA